CGAGCGGACAGAUGGGAGCUUGCUCCCUGAUGUGAGCGGCGGACGGGUGAGUAACACGUGGGUAACCUGCCUGUAAGACUGGGAUAACUCCGGGAAACCGGGGCUAAUACCGGAUGCUUGAUUGAACCGCAUGGUUCAAUUAUAAAAGGUGGCUUCUGCUACCACUUACGGAUGGACCCCCGGGCAUUAACUAAUUGGGGAGGGAACGGGUCACCCAGGGGACCAUGCGUAACCCACCUGAAAGGGUGAUCGGGCACCCUGGGACUGAAACACCGGCCAAACUCCUACCGGAGGGAACAGUAAGGAAUCUUCCCCAAUGGACCAAAGUCUGACGGAACAACCCCCCGUGAGUGAUGAAGGGUUUCCGAUCGUAAAACUCUGGUGGUAAGGAAAAACAAGUACCGGUCCAAUAGGGGGGGACCUUGACGGGACCUAACCAAAAAGCCACCGCUAACUACCUGCCAACAGCCGCGGGAAUACCUAAGGGGCAAGCGUUGUCCGGAAUUAUUGGGCGUAAAGCGCGCGCAGGGGGGUUCUUAAGUCUGAUGUGAAAGCCCCCCGCUCGACCGGGGAGGGUCAUUGGAAACUGGGGAACUUGAGUGGAGAAGAAGAGAAUGGAAUUCCACGUGGAACGGUGAAAUGCCUAGAGAUGUGGAAGAACACCAGUGGCGAAGCGACUCUCUGGUCUGGUACUGACGCUGAAGCGCGAAGCGUGGGGGAGCGGACAGGAUUAGAUACCCUGGUAGUCAACGCGUAACGAUGAUGCUAGUGUAGAGGGUUCGGCCUUUAUGCUGCAGCAACGCAUAGCACUCCGCUGGGGAGUACGUCGCAGACUGAACUCAAGAUGACGGGG
rnacentral:rRNA from 1 species